GGUUAAGCGACUAAGCGUACACGGUGGAUGCCCUGGCAGUCAGAGGCGAUGAAGGACGUGCUAAUCUGCGAUAAGCGCCGGUAAGGUGAUAUGAACCGUUAUAACCGGCGAUUUCCGAAUGGGGAAACCCAGUGUGACUCGUCACACUAUCAUUAACUGAAUCCAUAGGUUAAUGAGGCGAACCGGGGGAACUGAAACAUCUAAGUACCCCGAGGAAAAGAAAUCAACCGAGAUUCCCCCAGUAGCGGCGAGCGAACGGGGAGGAGCCCAGAGCCUGAAUCAGCAUGUGUGUUAGUGGAAGCGUCUGGAAAGGCGCGCGAUACAGGGUGACAGCCCCGUACACAAAAGCGCACAUGCUGUGAGCUCGAUGAGUAGGGCGGGACACGUGGUAUCCUGUCUGAAUAUGGGGGGACCAUCCUCCAAGGCUAAAUACUCCUGACUGACCGAUAGUGAACCAGUACCGUGAGGGAAAGGCGAAAAGAACCCCGGCGAGGGGAGUGAAAAAGAACCUGAAACCGU
rnacentral:rRNA from 1 species